rnacentral:rRNA from 1 species
UACGUAGGGCGCAAGCGUUGUCCGGAAUUAUUGGGCGUAAAGAGCUCGUAGGCGGCCUGUCGCGUCCGCUGUGAAAUCCCGGGGCUUAACCCCGGGCGUGCAGUGGAUACGGGCUGGCUGGAGGCAGGCAGGGGAGAACGGAAUUCCCGGUGUAGCGGUGAAAUGCGUAGAUAUCGAGAGGAACACCUGCGGCGAAGGCGGGUUGCUGGGCCGACACUGACGCUGAUGCGCGAAAGCCAGGGGAGCGAACGGG